AAGGAAUGAUACAACCAGUGAAGAUCAAAGAACAGUAUCAGAUUUGUCUGUAACAAUCUGUUAUUUCCAAUGGAAAUUAUUUUGGUAUUGAGCUAGGUGAGAAAGUACAGGAAGAGAGACUGAAAAGAACAUUAUAUACAAGGU
rnacentral:lncRNA from 1 species